rfam:Chaetomium globosum CBS 148.51 scaffold_2 genomic scaffold, whole genome shotgun sequence.
GCCCGGCUAGCUCAAUCGGUAGAGCGUGAGACUCUUAGGAUCACGUGAUCAGAAACAAUCUCAAGGUUGUGGGUUCGACCCCCACGUCGGGCU